rnacentral:rRNA from 1 species
GACGAACGCUGGCGGCGUGCCUAACACAUGCAAGUCGUGCGAGAAAGUUCCUUCGGGAGCGAGUAAAGCGGCGCACGGGUGAGUAACACGUAGGUAACCUGCCCCCCAGUCUGGAACAACUAGAGGAAACUCUAGCUAAUGCCGGAUGAGACCACGAUCCCUUCGGGGGUUGCGGCCAAAGAUGGCCUCUACUUGUAAGCUAUCGCUGAGGGAUGGGCCUGCGGGCCAUUAGCUUUGUUGGUGAGGUAACGGCUCACCAAGGCUGUGAUGGCUAGCUGGUCUGAGAGGAUGACCAGCCACACUGGGACUGAGACACGG